AUUCCAAUCGAACCCGGAGAUAGCUGGUUCUCCCCGAAAUAGCUUUAGGGCUAGCCUCAAGCGUAGAGAAACGGAGGUAGAGCACUGAAUGUCCUAGGGGGUAUUGCACUUACCGAAGACUAUCAAACUCCGAAUGCCGUAUUCUUUUGCUUGGGAGUCAGACUAUGGGUGAUAAGAUUCAUAGUCAAGAGGGCAACAGCCCAGAUCGUCAGCUAAGGUCCCUAAAUGUACGUUAAGUGGUAAAGGAUGUGGGAUUGCACAGACAACCAGGAUGUUGGCUUAGAAGCAGCCACUCAUUUAAAGAGUGCGUAAUAGCUCACUGGUCGAGUGAUCCUGCGCCGAAAAUUUCCGGGGCUAAAACGUACUACCGAAGCUACGGCAUCAUUUAUGAUGGGUAGGGGAGCUUCGUAUGCAGGCUGAAGCAUGACCGUAAGGACAUGUGGACAGUAUACGAGUGAGAAUGUUGGCAUGAGUAGCGAGAUGUGGGUGAGAAUCCCACAGGCCGUAAACCCAAGGUUUCCAGGGGAAGGUUCGUCCGCCCUGGGUUAGUCAGGACCUAAGCCGAGGCCGAAAGGCGUAGGUGAUGGACAACAGGUUGAUAUUCCUGUACCACCAAUAACCGUUUGAGAAAUGGGAUGACACAGUAGGAUAAGCUAACCGCACUGUUGGUUAUGUGCGGGCAAGUAUUGAGGCAGUUCCGAUAGGCAAAUCCGUCGGAAUAAUGCUGGGGUACGAUGCGGAGCGAAAUUAAGUAGCGAAGUAGCUGAUUUCACACUGUCGAGAAAAGUCUCUAUCGAGGUUAAAGGUGCCUGUACCGCAAACCGACACAGGUGGGUGAGGAGAGUAUCCUAAGGCCAGCGAGAGAACUGUUGUUAAGGAACUCGGCAAAAUGACCCCGUAACUUAGGGAGAAGGGGUGCCUUCGAAAGAAGGCCGCAGAGAAUAGGCCCAAGCGACUGUUUACCAAAAACAUAGGUUUCUGCUAAGUCGCAAGACGAUGUAUAGGAGCUGACGCCUGCCCGGUGCUGGAAGGUUAAGGGGAUCUGUUAGAGCAAUCGAAGCAGUGAACUUAAGCCCCAGUAAACGGCGGCCGUAACUAUAACGGUCCUAAGGUAGCGAAAUUCCUUGUCGGGUAAGUUCCGACCCGCACGAAAGGCGUAACGAUUUGGGCACUGUCUCAACAACAGACUCGGUGAAAUUGUAAUACCGGUGAAGAUGCCGGUUACCUGCGACAGGACGGAAAGACCCCAUGGAGCUUUACUGUAGCUUGACAUUGAGUCUCGGUGCUACAUGUACAGGAUAGGUGGGAGACUAUGAAGCAUGGACGUCAGUCUGUGUGGAGUCAUCCUUGGGAUACCACCCUUGUAGUACUGGGAUUCUAACCAGAGGCCAUGAAUCUGGUCUUGGGACACUGUCAGGUGGACAGUUUGACUGGGGCGGUCGCCUCCUAAAAAGUAACGGAGGCGCUCAAAGGUUUCCUCAGCACGGUCGGAAAUCGUGCGAAGAGUGUAAAGGCAAAAGGAAGCUUGAUUGCAAGACAUACAGGUCGAGCAAGGACGAAAGUCGGACUUAGUGAUCCGGUGGUACCGCAUGGAAGGGCCAUCGCUCAACGGAUAAAAGCUACCCUGGGGAUAACAGGCUGAUCUCCCCCAA
rnacentral:rRNA from 1 species